CUUUGGGGCAACCAUUUGAUGGAUUUAAAUGCUGAAAAGAGGACCCCUCUGUAAACAACUUUUAGUGAUGUUGGCAUCCUCAAAAAAGAUUAGCUGUUAUUAUUAUUACUUCUUUUGAAUAGUAUCUGAACAGCAUUGAUUAUCGUAAACAUGCAGUGUUGCAAUUGAAAAUCAUCGCAAAAGAUGUUUCGGGAAAAACAUGAAAAAGGUGGAAGUGAAACUUGAAGAGAUACAUGAAAAUUUGAACAAAAAACAGAACUUUAAUCAUGUGAGAUUAGUAAGGACUAAUGUAAGAGAACAAAAAGCAGCAAUUCUCAAGCAGUAUAGCAAAAGCAAAGCAACUGUUUUUUUUGAUGAGUUGCAUCAGCGGAUGAAGACAAAGGAAAUGGAAAGGGAGCUCUUGAAGUUGAAAAACGAAUGGACGAAAAAGGAAAAGAUGUAAAACGAGAGUGAAAAUGAAUUGAUUUUCAUGCACAAAAGGAAAAGUAAAGGAGUUGAACACUUUGAAAACAUUCUAAACAAGACGGAUGACAGAAGAGAGGAGAGGGAAAAAUGAGAGAAGUGUAUCAUAUAGUUUUGCCAGAUAAAAGGACACUCAAUGAUAUCAUAAAAUCGUAUAGGACUGAAUUUACUUAGCUGAAACAUUCCAAAGACGAUAAAUUUGAAGGAAAUAUAACACAUAAUUAAGAUAUUUAAGAAGAUAUACCUGAAAGUCAUGUAUUACACAUGAUAUUACACCUAAUCAUAGUUGAA